CCUUUCUAAGGAUGAUCAAGAAUAGGGCUUUUGAAAAAUCCCUCCCUUUUUGAUCUCAUUAGACACAAGGUUUAAACUUGAGUGAGUUUAAACUGUGCAUAUGACGCUAACUCUCAAUGAAUUCCUCUCACCAAAAAGAGACCCCUCUUUAGUUACAAAGAGGAUCCCCCCCCCGUCUCUUUGAGGCCCCUACCUCUGUUGAGAGAACUAUUUGAGGGUUUAGUGCUCAUGUGUUGACGAUAUAAAAGCAGACAUGCCGUCUUCGUUUCUCUUUCUUCAGAUGAUGAUCCCAAGCCUUCUGGCGAUCUCUUAAAAUAAAGCCUGUUCUGUUUUUAACAAACAGGGUGUUUAGAUAUAUGUUUAAAUUCUUAUGGAUCUUAAAAGAAAACAUGAAUUUAAAAAAAGGCUUUAUGAAGAAAGCACUUUAAGCUUUUCUCGUGAUUUAAGAUGAUACCGGGGAAGGUUUUCCGGUUUAUCCCGGAGGGCUUGUAGCUCAGUUGGUUAGAGCGCGCGCUUGAUAAGCGUGAGGUCGGAGGUUCAAGUCCUCCCAGGCCCACCAAUUUAUGCUCGUUUUUUGCUUAUCCAAGAGUGUGAAGUUUAAGCGUAUUAAAGUCUCUUCAAUCUUUGUUUGUUGUAAAGAUUUUAUUUUAUUCUCCAAAGAUUGCUGGUAAAUUUAUCCUAUUAAAUUCCCAAAGAGGAUUUUAAAAUCCUUUCAAGGGUAUAGAGGAAUUUAGAAAGGUAUAGAGAGAUUUAAAUGAUGCCAAUCAUAAUCAUCCAAGUCGUUCAAGGUGAUGAAUUUUCUUGAGGUUGACUUGAGGUUGAUUUGAAAGAGCAUUCUUUAGGGGCCGUAGCUCAGCUGGGAGAGCACCUGCUUUGCAAGCAGGGGGUCGUCGGUUCGAUCCCGUCCGGCUCCACCACUUUAUGGUUUAUCAUCAUGUUGUAAGAACAUUGUUUUGUGAGAGGUUUUAUGAACUUCUUGCCUGUUCUAUUGAAAUUGUGAAGAGAAGAUAUAUUCAGACAUGAUUUUUUGUGCUCUGUCUUUUAAAAGAUAGCGUUAUAAAAAAUGAUGUGUCGCAAGGGAAUGCUCAAAGCCCUUGCUUAUGAUUGGAAGCUUAACCGCGCCAUUGAAUAUAUCUCGAGAAGCUGGUCUUUUCUGCUGAUAUUGCUGUUUGUUUUGCGCUUUGUCUUGCACAGGACAAGGAGAUGUAGACAAACAGAUCAACAGACAAGUAAUAAAUGCUUUACGCGUUAUUGCGUGGAGCGUUGUUAUGAGAAAAUGAAGAAUAUGGCAAGAGAAGACCAA
rnacentral:tRNA from 1 species